rnacentral:rRNA from 1 species
GAUGAACGCUAGCGGCAGGCCUAAUACAUGGCAAGUCAAGGGGUAGCAAUACACCGGCGGACGGGUCGCGUAACGCGUACACAACAUACCUUUAAGCGGGGAUAGCAUCGGGAAACUGGUGGUAAUACCCCAUAGUAUUGCGAUCCGGCAUUGGGUUGCAAUUAAAGUUCCGGCGCCUUAGAGAUUGGGUGUGCGUCUGAUUAGCUAGUUGGCGGGGUAACGGCCCACCAAGGCGACGAUCAGUAGGGGGUGUGAGAGCAUGACCCCCCACAUGGGUACUGAGACACGGACCCAACUCCUACGGGAGGCAGCAGUAAGGAAUAUUGGACAAUGGGCGGAAGCCUGAUCCAGCCAUGCCGCGUGAAGGAUGAAGGCGCUCAGCGUUGUAAACUUCUUUUGGAUGGGGACAAUAACUUUCAUUUAUGAGAGCUUGAGGGUACCAUCAGAAUAAGCACCGGCUAACUCCGUGCCAGCAGCCCGCGGUAAUGUCAGUGACU